GAUUUCUAAGUAUAUCCCACAGUGCCUGGAAACUAUACUCUCUUUGAUGUGUAUCUGUGUCCUGAGGCAUCAUUAGUGGUGCAAUGUAAGUUCUGCAUGGGACAAACCUCACAUGUACUGGGAAGGAUGUGUAUGCUGCUGUUGCUGGGAAGAGCUCUAUGUCUGCCAGACCUAGUUGGUUUAUUAUAUUGUUUAAGUCCUUCAUUUCCUUAAUUGUCUUGUGUAGUAGUUCUAACAUUAUUGAGAGCUGUCAAGGGUUUCUAAUUACGCAUAUAGAAUUAUUUCUGCUUUCAAUUCUAUCAUCUUUUACUGCAGAUAUUUUGAUGGUUUAGGUAUAUAAAUGUUUGUCACUGUUAUAUCUCCUUUCUGCAUUGAACUUUUAUAAUAUAUAAUGUCUUUCUUUUUCUCAUUUAAAAUGUCAGCUGAAUGUGGUUGGUAUAUACCUGUAAUCCCAGCACUCGGGGAGACUGGGGCAAGACUGUUGCAAGUUCAAGCCCAGCCUGGGAAACACAGCAAUUUAGUAAGACCUUUCUUAAAAUAAAAAGGGGGCCAGGAAUGUGACUCAGUGCAAAGGCUCCAUGUAUAAUCUCUAGCACUACAAAUGAAAAACAUGUAUGUUAUCUAGUGUUAGUAUAGCUAUUCCUGCUCUCUUUUAGUUACUAUGCUAAUGGCAUAUCUUUUUAUCCUUUCACUACAAUUUGUUGUGUCUUUGGAUCUGAAGUGAGUUUCAUGAUCCAACAUGUAGUUGGAUCUUGGAUUUGCUUUUUAAAAUCUAUUUGCUGGUCUCUGUCUUCUUACAUUUAAAGUAAUUACUGAUAAGAAGAGACUUACUUUCAUCAUUUUGGUAUUUACUUUCUAUAUGCCUCAUAGAAUUUUGUCCCUCAAUUUCUAUAUUACUGUCUUUUUUGAUAGCAAAAAAUUUAAAUUCCAUUCUCAUUUCCUUUUGUAUAUAUGCUAUAGCUAUUUUUUGUGGUUACCAUAGGGACUAUAUUUAACAUCCUACAGUUAUAACACUUUAAUUUGAAUUUAUGAGCUCAAUUUCAUUAGCAUACAAAAACUCUGCUCAUUUUCAAUUCCAGUUGUUGCUGUCAUAAAUUACAGUUUUCUACAUUGUGUGUCCAAAACAUGAAUUGUGAAUUCUUUUUUUUGAAUUAUUAAUUCUUUUAAAUUCAUUAGUCUUGGCUGAGUGUGGUAGCACAUGCCUGUAAUCCCAGCACUCAGAAGCUGGGGCAGGAGGAUUGCUGUGAGUUUGAGGUCAGCCUGAGCUACAAAUUGAGUUCAAGGCGAACUUGAAAUGCACAGUGAAAUCUUGCCUCAAAAUAAAAUAAAAGUAAAGUAAAGUAAAGUAAAUUAAUUAGUCUCUUAAAAUUUUAUAGAAAGCAAAAUGUGGAUCUACCUACCAAAGUUAACAAUACUAGAUUUUAAAUUGAUAAUUAUUUUUCAAAAUGUAAAUCUUUCAAAUAAUGUAGAAUACAAAAAGUAAAGAUAUAGUCAGACAUGGUGGUAUGUGGUUGUAACCCCAACAUUUAGGAGGCUGAGGCAGAAGGAUUACCACAAGGUUAAGGUGACUUUGGGCUGCAUAACAAGACCUGUCUCAAACAAGUACAAGUUGUUGUAGGUACAAGUUGUUGUAUUAGAUUUUUUUGUUUUUGUUUUUGUUUUAUUGGUACUGGGGAUCAAACCCACAGCCUCACAUUUGCCAGGCAGAUGCCCAUGCCGCUGAGCUAAAUGACCAGCCCCAUGUAUUAGAUUUUAUAAUUGCACAUGUAUUUGCUUUUAUUGAGAUCUCUAUUUGUUCAUGUGCCUUGGAAAUACUAUAUAGAAUCCUUUUAUUGCAGUGUUCUUUUCAUUUUUUAUUAGUUUAGUUGCAGUACAUAAUGCUUAUAUUCAUCUUGGAGAAUUGGUACAUACAUAUAUCACAGUACUCUUUUUACUUCCCCUUUUCCUUUAUUCCAGAAUUCUUUCAAAAACUCCUUAUUAAAUAAAUCAAAUGGUAACAAACUCCUUCAGCUUUUAUCUGGGAAUAUUUAAAUUCUGUUGUGUGAUUUUUCUGAAUAUAGGGUUCUUGGUUAACAGAUUUUUAUCUGUUUUAGGGGAAGAUGAAGUACUGGGGAUCAAACUCAUGACCUCACACUCAUCAGGAGGCACUUGUGCCAUGAAGUGGAAAAAGAAAUAAAUGAAGAAGUAGAAAAGAGCAUCAGCCCCUGAUAUUGGAGGAAGUGAAACAAUGGAUGCUUUAUCCCUCUGAUGGGAAGCAGCAGUUGGGGCACAGAUCUUUGGGAUUUGGAACACAGGGCCUUUUUGCCUACCCUGGCUCCCAUGAAUGGGGUAUGGAUUUCUCCAAGAAUACUAGGUAGCUGCCACCAUGUGGCUGGAGAAAGGGGCCACACUGGCUGCUCCAAUGCUCAGAGCUGACAUUGACCAAGAGUCACUGCAGUGUACUGUACGAGCCUAUGAGCUGGAAGCCGGGACUGGAGCUCUGGCAGCUACUUCCGACUGAUAGUUUGUGCUGGCGAAACUACUAUCUAGGUGGGAGAGAUUCCUGGACCUUUUUACUCUGCCAUCUUCCUACACCUGCUCCUUUCCUGCUAAAGUUCAACAAAUUCAUGCAAAUGACAAAUGAAGGGCCAAACCUGGAGGCCUCCUGUUCUUCUAUGGCCAGAGAACUAAGAACAACUUGACACUUGAAGUGGUUAAUGUGAAAAUCACAUGAAAUUCAUCAUAUGGGACCAUCAGCAUGCUUAUUGGCUGAUACAUUUUCUAUGUCCAAGGCCACACUCCAGCUAUGACAACAGAGUUGAAAAGUGAUAGAGACCAAAAAUAUUUCCUAUUUGACCUAUUAUAAAAAUGUUCACCAGCCUGUUUAGGCCUUACUCAUGGAUAGAGAAGGAAAGAAAUAUUUAGGGCUUUCCAGGAAAAACUCAUCCCAGGGAAAGGAAACCUAGAAUGUUGACCUGGAUCCACUGCCACAGCAAAGUCACCCUGAAGGGAGAACCAGUAUUGGCACAGAAGGAAACUGUGCCUAAAGACAGACCUAAAGCCUGUCACCCAGGCUAGAAGCGAUUAUUCUUUAGGAUCCAACCAUAUUCCAGGUUGUAAACUGAAGAGCAAUCCGAGGUCCCAAGCCAAGAACAUUACAUGUAUAUGGCCAAGGUUUUAUUUACCCUUGCUGUUUAUCUUCCCUGAAGAUAUCUGUUGCCUAGGAAAGGGUCUGAACUAUCAGAAAUGUCACCUAAGCAGGAGAAAGGGCUCAUGGACUUUGUGACCAUGUGCUUUGAAAUAGUCACGAGGAAAGGAGGGAGUCUUGGAGCAAAGUGGGGCUGCAUUUCUAGGCACUGUUGAGGGCCUCAGGUACAGGCUUGCAAAAGUGGGUGUUAAAGGUAAUCCCAAAUGCUGAAGAUUUGGUUUUCAGCUUGUGGUGCUUUUGGAAGGUACUAGAGCUGUUGGUGAGUAGAGCCUAGUGUAAGGAAGCCAGGUCCCUGGAGAAGUGUUCUUGAAGAGAAGAUUGGAACCUCUUGCCCUCCUCCCUUUGCUUCUGAUCUAACACACUGUUUGCACACAUGUUCUUUGGCUCAUGUUUUGCCUCUAUACAUGUCCCAAAUCAUGGGGCCAAGUAAACAUGAACUGAAGCCUCUGAAACCAUGAGUCAAAGAUAAGUCAUUGCUUUUUGUAAGUUUAUUCUGGGCUGAGUGUAGAAGCUGACAUCUGUAAUCCUAGUCCUCACCAUUCUUUAGUAUUUUAUGAAGAUCAGUUUGAGUUUAGCCUGGGCCACUUAGUGACUCAGUAAAAACCCAUCUCAAAAAGGGGGAAAAAAAGGGACUGGCCCGGUGAGAAGGUUCUUGGUUUAAUCUAUCAUACCAGUUCAACAACCACAGAGAGAAAAAAAGUUGUGCAUGUCAAGUGUUUUGUGAGAGGGGUAGAAAGGUGGAUAAAAUAGUGGAUAAUGGCUGUGUAACUGAUGAAUGUCAAAAGACAUGAGAGUGGGAUGGGUCUGGAACACUAGGGUAUCAGAGUUCUACUGAAUUUAUAGGUCAUAGAAUCUAUACUACACAAAGAAGAGGCAAAGAAAGAGGAAGAGAGCCCACUGGCACAAAGUUUGGGGUUGGAAUGAUCGUGGCAGGUGGGGUUGGUUGGAUAGCAGGGUUUUGUAGGAGGAGCUAUUUCACCAAUUGCUGGUGCAGGCUGGGCCAGCCGCGAGUGGCAGCAGGGUGCAUGGGCGAGUUUGUAUGGGUGAGGAUUGGGAAUCUGAUGCCUCAUGCAUAUGGAGGUUAAAAGCAUUUAGGAUGAAGGUCGGUUGUGAAGAGGCAAAGAUAGCUGCCAAAGCCUGCACCAAAUGACAGACGCUCUGGGGAUGCCAUUGACGAAGGGUGGAGGGUGACACACACAGCAUGAACAGCACAGGAUGGGAGAAAAGGUGCCUGGGAGGAAUACAAAAAAACCACUAUUGUGAUGCACAGCACAACCAUAGUUGUGAAAACAAAACAAAACAAAACAGAUCCUGAGAAAAUACUAAGGGAUCAAGCUGAGGGCCCAGGUUCAUUUACAGGAGUUGAUCAGGGGAGCCUCGCUGGAGAAACAGCAUUUAAUUGAGGGGAGGCUGAGUGAGGGGGUAUGAGAGGCUGAGGUAAAAGGAUCACAAACAAGUCCAGCCUGGCAACUCGGUGACUUUGAGACCCUGCCUCAACAUAAAAUAAAAUAAAAUAAAAUAAAAUAAAAUAAAAUAAAAUAGG